rnacentral:rRNA from 1 species
AUUGAACGCUGGCGGCAUGCCUUACACAUGCAAGUCGAACGGCAGCACGGGUGCUUGCACCUGGUGGCGAGUGGCGAACGGGUGAGUAAUACAUCGGAACGUACCUUAUCGUGGGGGAUAACGCAGCGAAAGCUGUGCUAAUACCGCAUACGCCCUGAGGGGGAAAGCGGGGGAUCGCAAGACCUCGCGCGAUUAGAGCGGCCGAUGCCUGAUUAGCUAGUUGGUGGGGUAAAAGCCCACCAAGGCGACGAUCAGUAGCUGGUCUGAGAGGACGAUCAGCCACACUGGGACAGAGACAAGGCCCAGACUCCUACGGGAGGCAGAAGUGGGGAAUUUUGGACAAUGGGGGCAACCCUGAUCCAGCAAUGCCGCGUGAGUGAAGAAGGCCUUCGGGUUGUAAAGCUCUUUUGUCAGGGAAGGAACACCGGCUCUAACACAGUCCGGGAAUGACGGUACCUGAAGAAUAAGCACCGGCUAACUACGUGCCAGCCGCCGCCGUAA